UACGAAGGGGGCUAGCGUUGUUCGGAUUUACUGGGCGUAAAGCGCACGUAGGCGGAUCGAUCAGUCAGGGGUGAAAUCCCAGAGCUCAACUCUGGAACUGCCUUUGAUACUGUCGAUCUGGAGUAUGGAAGAGGUGAGUGGAAUUCCGAGUGUAGAGGUGAAAUUCGUAGAUAUUCGGAGGAACACCAGUGGCGAAGGCGGCUCACUGAUCCAUUACUGACGCUGAGGUGCGAAAGCGUGGGGAGCAAACAGG
rnacentral:rRNA from 1 species